rnacentral:rRNA from 1 species
AGCAGCCGCGGUAAUUCCAGCUCCAAUAGCGUAUAUUAAAGUUGUUGCAGUUAAAAAGCUCGUAGUUGAAUUUCGGGAUCAGCGCGUCGGUCGUGCCUCGGUAUGCACUGGCGCCGCUGGUUUCUCCCUUCUGAGGAACCGUGAUGUCAUUAAUUUGGUGUUGCGGGAAAUCAGGACUGUUACUUUAGAAAAAUUAGAGUGUUUAAAGCGGGCACGCGCUUGAAUACAUUAGCAUGGAAUAACGAAAUAGGACGUUCGAUCUUAUUUGUUGGUUUCUAGGAUUGACGUAAUGAUUAAUAGGGAUAGUUGGGGGCAUUAGUAUUCAAUUGUCAGAGGUGAGAUUCUUGGAUUUAUUGAAGACUAACUACUGCGAAAGCAUUUGCCAAGGAUGUUUUCAUUAAUCAAGAACGAAAGUUAGGGGAUCGAAGACGAUCAGAUACCGUCGUAGUCUUAACCAUAAACUAUGCCGACUAGGGAUCGGAUGAUGUUAAUUUUAAUGACUCAUUCGGCGUACCUUACG